AUAAAAUGGCUGAAGUGAGGCGGUGGUUUGUAAUUCCAUUAAUGGAGCUAGUGGCUUCUUUUAUCA
rnacentral:tRNA from 1 species